rnacentral:rRNA from 1 species
GACGAACGCUGGCGGCGUGCUUAACACAUGCAAGUCGAACGGAAAGGCCCUGCUUUUGUGGGGAGCUAGAGGGGGGAACGGGAGAGUAACACGGGAGUAAGCUGGCCAUGAGUUGGGGAUAACUUGAGGAAACUGGGGAUAAUACAGGAUAGGAGCUCCUGAUGGAGGGUGGGGGUUGGAAAGCUUCGGCGGUUGGGGAUGGACUCGCGGCUAAUCAGCUUGUUGGUGGGGGAGUGGCCUAGCAAGGCAUUGACGGGUAGCCGGCCUGAGAGGGUGACCGGCCACAUUGGUCCUGCGGUACGGCCCAGUCUCCUACGUGAGGCAGCGGUCGGGAAUAUUGCACAAUGGUCGGAAGCCUGUUGCAACAACGCCGCGUUCGUGAUGACGUCCUUCUUGUUGUAAACCGCAUUCGCCUGUUACGUAGCUUUUUUGACGUUAAUGGGUGAAUAAGCACUGGCUAACUUCGUG